rnacentral:rRNA from 1 species
CGAGCGCAACCCUCGCCCUUACGUUGCCAGCAUCUAGUUGGGCACUCUAAGGGGACUGCCGGUGAUAAGCCGAGAGGAAGGUGGGGAUGACGUCAAGUCCUCAUGGCCCUUACGGGCUGGGCUACACACGUGCUACAAUGGUGGUGACAGUGGGCAGCGAGCACGCGAGUGUGAGCUAAUCUCCAAAAGCCAUCUCAGUUCGGAUUGCACUCUGCAACUCGAGUGCAUGAAGUUGGAAUCGCUAGUAAUCGCGGAUCAGCAUGCCGCGGUGAAUACGUUCCCGGGCCUU